UAGGGAGCGAGCGUUAUCCGGAAUUAUUGGGUGUAAAGGGUGCGUAGGCGGUUUUAUAAGUCAGUGGUGAAAGCCCGGAGCUCAACUCCGGUAAGCCAUUGAAACUGUAGAACUUGAGUAUGGUAGAGGCAAGCGGAAUUUCUAGUGUAGCGGUAGAAUGCGUAGAUAUUAGAAGGAACACCAGUGGCGAAGGCGGCUUGCUGGGCCAAAACUGACGCUGAGGCACGAAAGCGUGGGGAGCGA
rnacentral:rRNA from 1 species